UACGUAGGGGGCAAGCGUUGUCCGGAAUCAUUGGGCGUAAAGCGCGUGUAGGCGGCUAGGUAAGUCUGCUCUGAAAGCCCGGGGCUCAACCCCGGGAGGCGGGUGGAUACUGUCUAGCUCGAGUCCGGAAGAGGAGUGUGGAAUUCCUGGUGUAGCGGUGAAAUGCGUAGAUAUCUGGAGGAACACCGGUGGCGAAGGCGGCAUCCUGGACCAUGACUGACACUGAAAAGCGAAAGCCAGGGGAGCAAACGGG
rnacentral:rRNA from 1 species